AGCAGCCGCGGUAAUUCCAGCUCCAAUAGCGUAUAUUAAAGUUGUUGCAGUUAAAAAGCUCGUAGUUGAAUUUCGGGAUCAAUACGUCGGUCGUGCUUCGGUACGUACUAACGUCAUUGAUUUCUCCCUUCUGACGAAUCGUGAUGUCAUUAAUUUGGUGUUACGGGGAGUUAGGACUGUUACUUUGAAAAAUUAGAGUGUUUAAAGCAAGCAAUCGCUCGAAUACAUUAGCAUGGAAUAAUGAAAUAGGACGUUCGAACCUAUUUUGCUGGUUUCUAGGAUCGACGUAAUGAUUAAUAGGGAUAGUUGGGGCAUUAGUAUUCAAUUGUCAGAGGUGAAAUUCUUGGAUUUAUUGAAGACUAACUACUGCGAAAGCAUUUUGCCAAGGAUGUUUUCAUUAAUCAAGAACGAAAGUUAGGGGAUCGAAGACGAUCAGAUACCGUCGUAGUCUUAACCAUAAACUAUAGCCGAACUAGGGAUCGGAUGAUGUUAAUUUUUAA
rnacentral:rRNA from 1 species